AAGACUAUACUUUCAGGGAUCAUUUCUAUAGUUUGUCAUAAACAGAAACAUACCAAAAAACAAGGGUAUAUAUUAAUUGGUUGAUGAAAAUGCAAUG
rnacentral:snoRNA from 1 species